GAGGUUGUGGCUCAGUGGUAAAGCACUUGCCUAACGUGUGAGGCCCUGGGUUCGAUCUUCAGCACCACA
rnacentral:tRNA from 1 species